rnacentral:rRNA from 1 species
GACGAACGCUGGCGGCGUGCUUAAUACAUGCAAGUCGAACGGAAAGGCGCUUCUUGCAGGUUGGGCGAGGUGCGAACGGGCGAGUAACUCGGGGGUGAUUUGCCCCUUAUUUUGGGAUAAGCCUGGGAAACUGGGUCUAAUACUCUAUAGGACCAUACUUUAGUUUGUGUGGUUGUUAGAGUAGAUUCGGUUACGGUUGAUGUGGCGGCGUAUCAGCUUGUUGGUGUGGUUAUGGCCUACCAAGGCGUCGACGGGUAGCCGGCCUGAGAGGAGGGACAGCCACAUUGGGACUGAGCUACGGCGCAGAGCACUACGGGAGGCAGCAGUGGAGAAGAUUGCACAAUGAGCGAAAGACGGCUGGAGCGGGGCGGCGGGGGGGAUGACGGCAUUCGGGUUGUAAAGUCCGUGAAGCAAUGGCGAAGCACUUGUCGUGACGGUAGUGGAAGAAGAAGCACCGGCUAACUACGUG